rnacentral:rRNA from 1 species
UACGGAGGGGGCUAGCGUUGUUCGGAAUCAUUGGGCGUAAAGGGCGCGUAGGCGGCCGAUCAAGUCGGAGGUGAAAUCCCUCGGCUCAACUGAGGAACUGCCUUCGAUACUGUUCGGCUUGAGUCCUGGAGAGGGUAGCGGAAUUCCCGGUGUAGCGGUGAAAUGCGUAGAGACCGGGAAGAACACCAGUGGCGAAGGCGGCUACCUGACAGGUACUGACGCUGAAGCGCGAAAGCUAGGGGAGCGAAACAGG